AUUUCAAAGUUAUGUGGCACGUUGGUGAAGUAAACAGCACCAAAGACGGCAACUUUGAUGUACCUCACAGCGUGGAGUUGGAUAACUACAAUCGUGUGUGGGUUGCAGACCGUAUGAACGGCAGACUGCAAGCCUUUGAUGCAGAUACGGGCAAGUUUAUUGGCAAAUGGACAAGUUGUUUCUCUGUUGGGCAACCAUACUCUGUCAGAAUGAGUAAGGAUAAAACACAUUUCAUCGUUGCACUACUUCAGCAGAGUAAAAUUCUUUUAGUUGCCACUCCACCAAGUGCAGGACCAAUAGGCGACUGCAAUGUCUUGGGUUCUAUAGAUCUACCAGAAAAUACCGGACCGCAUCUAGUGGGAGUUAGCAAAUCAACAGGUGCUUUUUAUGUGGCUGAACUUAACACACAGACUUGUCAGAAAUUUGUACCUAUUGGACUACAUAGAAUUAAUAUAGAUUAAAUAUGUUUUUCUCUUGCCAUAUUAUUGUUCCAAUUAAAGAGGAUAUUUUAUUUUUGUGAUUAAAAUAAAAAACAGUGAGGCUAGUCUUAGCCCCGGUGUGUGUCACAAUGAAGAGUUAUAUGGAUAUGUUUUGUGAAAGAGUAUUAAGGUAACUUACAGUACUGUACUACUAAUUACAAUAACAAAAGAACUAUGCAUUGAGCAACUGGCAUACGAGUCAACAGAAAAGUUGACAUGAAUAAUGAUGAGCUAAAAGUGGUAAUUGGUGAUAAGUGCUCACAAGUGAAGUGUAAAAUUAUGUUAAUUUAUGAUCAAAUUUUUAGAAUAGGAAUCAACCUGUACACAGUUGCACAGGAUAUGUGAUAGCUCAAGGUGAGCAGAAUGGUGUUAGUGCAUUGGACACGCCCAAACUGAAACACCUAAGGCUUAGGAAAGUGUGGUAGCUAAAUUAAGAGCACCACUAACACCUAUGCACUAUCAAACAAGAACAGAUUUACAAGGACAUAUGUGAGUACUUUUAAUGAUUUAUAAAUGUGAAAUUACGUUCCUAUAAAGUUCCGUAUAUAUUUAUAUGUUGAAUAGUAAUUGUGCAAGUAAUGGAAUAUAUGUAGGCCCUACGUGGUAUGUGGUAUUAAUACUUACCUUGAAUAUGAUUAAAGUGGAAAUGUUGGACAUAUA